AACGAACGCUGGCGGCAGGCUUAACACAUGCAAGUCGAGCGCAUCCUUCGGGGCGAGCGGCGGACGGGUUAGUAACGCGUGGGAACGUGCCCUCUUCUACGGAAUAGCCCAGGGAAACUUGGAUUAAUGCCGUAUACGCCCUUCGGGGGAAAGAUUUAUCGGAGGAGGAUCGGCCCGCGUUGGAUUAGGUAGUUGGUGGGGUAAUGGCCUACCAAGCCGACGAUCCAGAGCUGGUUUGAGAGGAUGAUCAGCAACACUGGGACUGAGACACGGCCCAGACUCCUACGGGAGGCAGCAGUGGGGAAUCUUGGACAAUGGGGGCAACCCUGAUCCAGCCAUGCCGCGUGAUCGAUGAAGGCCUUAGGGUUGUAAAGAUCUUUCAGCUGGGAAGAUAAUGACGGUACCAGCAGAAGAAGCCCCGGCUAACUCCGUGCCAGCCGCCGCCGUAAGAC
rnacentral:rRNA from 1 species